rnacentral:rRNA from 1 species
UAGAGUUUGAUCAUGGCUCAGAUUGAACGCUGGCGGAAUGCUUUACACAUGCAAGUCGAACGGCAGCACGGAGAGCUUGCUCUCUGGUGGCGAGUGGCGAACGGGUGAGUAAUAUAUCGGAACGUGUCCAAUAAUGGGGGAUAACGAGUCGAAAGAUUCGCUAAUACCGCAUACGCCCUACGGGGGAAAGCAGGGGAUCGUAAGACCUUGCGUUAAUGGAGCGGCCGAUAUCUGAUUAGCUUGUUGGUGAGGUAAAGGCUCACCAAGGCGACGAUCAGUAGCUGGUUUGAGAGAACGACCAGCCACACUGGAACUGAGACACGGUCCAGACUCCUACGGGAGGCAGCAGUGGGGAAUUUUGGACAAUGGGGGCAACCCUGAUCCAGCCAUUCCGCGUGAGCGAAGAAGGCCUUCGGGUUGUAAAGCUCUUUCGCAAGGGAAGAAAACUUAUGAUCGAAUAAAUCAUGAGGUUGACGGUACCUUGAUAAGAAGCACCGGCUAACUACGUGCCAGCCGCCGCGGUAAUAC